rnacentral:lncRNA from 1 species
UUAUAUUUUGUAAAAAUAUGCUUAGAUUGAGGUUUGCACCUCCAAUAGCAAAAGUCAAUUGAUGAACCAUCAUACCAAUAGGUAACUUUUAUCAAAUAGCGAUAUUUUGUUAAAUGUAUUUCUUUAUGCAUAAUAUUAGUAUAUAUUAGUAAAAAGAAUCGAGAAAGGGGUGUUGCUUGACACUCUUUUACUCAAUGUUGGCCCGUUCAUGCCUCCGGUCAUGUUAUAUAUAUUUUCUUCGUUUUAUUUUAUGUGAUAUUGUUCAAUUUAGUACGAUGUUUUACAAAUUUUGCUAAUUGGAAAUUAGCUUAAUUAUUUCACAUGCAUAAUUUAUAGGUGACUGUUAAAUGUCGGCUAAAUAUAUGUCAAAUCUUUGAUGAUUUAUUAUUAUUUUAGAUUGAUUUAGUCUCCAAUGUGAUAACUACAUUUGAUGGAAAAAUGACAUUUAUCACAUGCUUAUGUUUGUGAAGAAAUGAUUGAAAUGGAAAGGUUUUUAUCAUAUAUAUCAUAAUAUAUGCUUAUCUAUGACUAUAUAUGGACAGGAAAAUGUCUAUAUCUUGUGUGUGGGAGAAAGAAGAGAAAUCAUAUCCCUUUGGAACGUGAAUUUAUGUAUUAUUUUAUGUAAAAAUAUUAGUCAUGUACGGAUUAAUUAUUUAUGUAUAAAUUAUAUAUGUAUUCAUUUUCCACAUUUUAUCAUGCGUAAAAUAAUAUAUUGAUA